rnacentral:rRNA from 1 species
GAUGAACGCUGGCUACAGGCUUAACACAUGCAAGUCGAGGGGAAACGACGGGGAAGCUUGCUUCCCCGGGCGUCGACCGGCGCACGGGUGAGUAACGCGUAUCCAACCUGCCUCUGACUGAGGGAUAACCCGUCGAAAGUCGGCCUAAUACCUCAUGGCAUCGUCUGCGGGCAUCCAACGACGAUUAAAGAUUUCAUCGGUCAGAGAUGGGGAUGCGUCUGAUUAGCUUGUUGGCGGGGUAACGGCCCACCAAGGCGACGAUCAGUAGGGGUUCUGAGAGGAAGGUCCCCCACAUUGGAACUGCGGCACGGUCCACACUCCUACGGGAGGCAGCAGUGAGGAAUAUUGGUCAAUGGGCGAGAGCCUGAACCAGCCAAGUAGCGUGCAGGAUGACGGCCCUAUGGGUUGUAAACUGCUUUUAUGCGGGGAUAAAGUGAGGGACGUGUCCUUCAUUGCAGGUACCGCAUGAAUAAGGACCGGCUAAUUCCGUG